rnacentral:pre_miRNA from 17 species
AUGCCUGGAAGCUGAUCCCCUGUUUUGUGAAGGUUGGGACGGGCAGCAGUAUUUACAGUUGGAUUGAUAUUGCACUUGUCCCGGCCUACACAGGUCAAGAGGUAACGAUGUCAUGUGGG